AAGGCCUGAUGUGUGUGAGAUUACCCGCUGAAUUUAAGCAUAUAAGUAAGCGGAGGAAAAGAAACUAACUAGGAUUCCCUUAGUAAUGGCGAAUGAACAGGGAUCAGCUCAGUGCCAAAUCGGAAUCACUUGUGGUUCUGAAAUGUGGCUUGAAGGCAGUACCAGUGGCAUCGCGGACGAAAGUCUCUUGGAAAAGAGCGUCAUAGAGGGUGAGAAUCCCGUGAGUCGUUCGCCGUUUGUCACGUACGGUCUGCGUUCUAACGAGUCGCGUUCCUUGGGAUUGGAGCGUAAACGGGUGGUAAAUUUCAUCCAAAGCAAAAUAUAUACUCGAGACCGAUAGCACAAAAGUACCGUGAGGGAAAGGUGAAAAGAACUUUGAGAAGAGGGUUAAAUAGUGCCUGAAAUCGUUGAGAAGGAAGCGGAUGCCGCCGUUGCAUAUGCUGAUUGUAGGAUUGCUGCUCGCUCCUGUCUUCUGCUACUCAUUCACAGACCUGGUCGUGUUGAGCAGUUGUUUGGCAGAUGUUAGUGGGUGUUUCUACUUUCAGUCGUCAGCAUCACUGGCUGAGUGGAAA
rnacentral:ncRNA from 1 species